GAAUUUUGCUCAAUGGGCGAAAGCCUGAAGCAGCAACGCCGCGUGCGGGAUGAAGGCCUUCGGGUUGUAAACCGCUUUUCUCAGGGACGAUGAUGACGGUACCUGAGGAAUAAGUCACGGCUAACUACGUGCCAGCAGCCGCGGUAAUACGUAGGUGACUAGCGUUGUCCGGAUUUACUGGGCGUAAAGAGCGCGCAGGCGGUCGUUCAAGUCGAGUGUGAAAGCCCCCGGCUCAACUGGGGAGGGUCACUUGAUACUGAUCGACUGGAAGGCAGGAGAGGGAAGCGGAAUUCCCGGUGUAGUGGUGAAAUGCGUAGAUAUCGGGAGGAACACCAGUGGCGAAGGCGGCUUCCUGGCCUGUUCUUGACGCUGAGGCGCGAAAGCUAGGGGAGCAAACGG
rnacentral:rRNA from 1 species